GGGCCGGGUUACGGAUGUCGAUUUGGAGGUUGUGCCCUUGAGGCGUGGCUUCCGAAGCUAACGCGUUAAAUCGACCGCCUGGGGAGUACGGCCGCAAGGUUAAAACUCAAAUGAAUUGACGGGGGCCCGCACAAGCGGUGGAGCAUGUGGUUUAAUUCGAUGCAACGCGAAGAACCUUACCUACUCUUGACAUCCAGCGAAUCCUGUAGAGAUACGGGAGUGCCUUCGGGAACGCUGAGACAGGUGCUGCAUGGCUGUCGUCAGCUCGUGUUGUGAAAUGUUGGGUUAAGUCCCGCAACGAGCGCAACCCUUAUCCUUUGUUGCCAGCGGUUCGGCCGGGAACUCAAAGGAGACUGCCAGUGAUAAACUGGAGGAAGGUGGGGAUGACGUCAAGUCAUCAUGGCCCUUACGAGUAGGGCUACACACGUGCUACAAUGGCGUAUACAAAGAGAAGCGAACUCGCGAGAGCAAGCGGACCUCAUAAAGUACGUCGUAGUCCGGAUUGGAGUCUGCAACUCGACUCCAUGAAGUCGGAAUCGCUAGUAAUCGUGGAUCAGAAUGCCACGGUGAAUACGUUCCCGGGCCUUGUACACACCGCCCGUCACACCAUGGGAGUGGGUUGCAAAAGAAGUAGGUAGCU
rnacentral:rRNA from 1 species